rnacentral:rRNA from 1 species
CCUAUUAUUUAAGAGCUUAACAUUGUAAGUAAAUAAAGAUUAUGAAAGCAAAAAAUUAUGGCGGUAUUUUAAGCUUUUCAGAGGAAUUUGCUCUUUAAUGGAUAAAACACCUAAAUCUUACUUAAAUUUGUUAAUUCAAUUUGUAUACCACUAUAAAAACAAUUUAUAACUUUAAUUGUUGAUAUUUAUUAAAUUAAAAUAUAUUAAGUCAAGGUGCAGUAAAAAUUUAAGGAUGAAGUGAAUUACAUUACUUUUUAGAGAAAUAAAUUUAAAAUAAUAUUUAGGAUUUGAAAGUAAAAUUAAAAUAUAAUGUUAAUU